AAACUUACCUGGAGCCGUGUUCAGAGUGAUCAGGAAUGCUAUAACACCUGGUGGAGGAGGCUCACCAUUGCACCUCGGUGGGUUGAAAUCCGCAAUGAACCCUAAUCGGGUGCGCUCGGGCGUGUAGUUAU
rnacentral:snRNA from 11 species